UACGGAGGGUGCAAGCGUUGUCCGGAAUCAUUGGGCGUAAAGCGUUCGUAGGCGGUUUGUCAAGUCUGAUGUUAAAUCCCGGGGCUCAACUCCGGCACGGCAUUGGAUACUGAUAGACUUGAAUGCGGCAGAGGUAAAGGGAAUUCCUGGUGUAGCGGUGAAAUGCGCAGAUAUCAGGAGGAACAUCAGAGGCGAAAGCGCUUUACCGGGCCGUGAUUGACGCUGAGGAACGAAAGCCGGGGGAGCAAAU
rnacentral:rRNA from 1 species